AAUGUCGUAACAAGGUUUCCGUAGGUGAACCUGCGGAAGGAUCAUUAUCGAGAGAGGGGCUUCGCGCUCCCGGGGUUUCGGCCCCUAACUCUUCACCCAUUGUCAACUUACCCUUGUUGCUUUGGCGGAUUCCGGGGUUAUGUCUUGCGUAGGUUUCGUCAUAAACCCGUGCGAGAUGUGCCCCAGGCGCCCGCCGGAGGCCCCAAUUAAAAUUCUGUCUAUCAGUGAUGUCCGAGUAAAAAAGCCAAUUAAUAAAA
rnacentral:misc_RNA from 1 species